rnacentral:lncRNA from 1 species
UUAACGUAUGCUAUCAUGGAAUGCAUCACAACACAAACAUAUCACAUCAAGGAUGAAUUUGUCACCUAUAGCCCUCUACAUACUGUAGUACGUCCAACUAUACCAGGGGCGAUGAGGCCACACCUAGUAUUCGCUUACAUAACUCAUAUCAUAACAAGUCCAACUACACCAGGGGCGAUUAGGCCUCACCUAGUGUUCGCUUACAUAACAUAGUACCAGGGGUGACCUGGUCUUUCUGUCUCAUAUCAUACCAUGGCAUAUCAUAUCAUAUUAUCUCAUCUCAUACUGAGGGCUAAGGAUCAUCCAACAUCCAUCCACAUCAACAACAUAUUAUGCAAUGCAUCAUAUUCGUG